UUCCACACUCCUUCCUUCUUCUCUCUUCUCCCUUCUCCUGCUUUGUUGUUCUUCCUUUACUCUCUUUUAAUCAAGAGACGUAGAGAUACUGAACAAGAGAGUGUGAGACCGUGAGAUUGAGAGAAUUACAAGGGAGAAAAUCAUGAGAGUAGGAAAAAAAAAAUACAGAAAGAAACCCAUCUCCGGCGACUUUUCCGGCGAACUUUCCGGCGACUUCCCGGUGAUUUUUCCGGCGAUUUUCCCGUGACCGAACUCACCGUUUUCACUGAAUUUUCUAGUGAAAAUUCUUAGUUAAUAAACUAAGAAAAUAUACAAAGAGGAUUAAGCUCGAUCCCGAUAUUAUGGGAAAUCCAAGUUAUGAACAGAGAGACGUAGGUGGCCGGGAUGGGAUCUAGGAAUGCAUUAGGACAUUUCAUUUAUAUUACCCCAUAAUUUUCAGUUAUUGUAUUUUUACAAUUAAAUGACCGUUUCCGCAUUUAUUAAAAACUCUGAGAUUUUGAAACCA